rnacentral:rRNA from 1 species
AGAGUUUGAUCCUGGCUCAGGACGAACGCUGGCGGCGUGCCUAAUACAUGCAAGUAGAACGCUGAAGAGAGGAGCUUGCUCUUCUUGGAUGAGUUGCGAACGGGUGAGUAACGCGUAGGUAACCUGCCUUGUAGCGGGGGAUAACUAUUGGAAACGAUAGCUAAUACCGCAUAACAAUGGAUGACACAUGUCAUUUAUUUGAAAGGGGCAAUUGCUCCACUACAAGAUGGACCUGCGUUGUAUUAGCUAGUAGGUGAGGUAAUGGCUCACCUAGGCGACGAUACAUAGCCGACCUGAGAGGGUGAUCGGCCACACUGGGACUGAGACACGGCCCAGACUCCUACGGGAGGCAGCAGUAGGGAAUCUUCGGCAAUGGGGGCAACCCUGACCGAGCAACGCCGCGUGAGUGAAGAAGGUUUUCGGGUCGUAAAGCUCUGUUGUAAGUCAAGAACGGGUGUGAGAGUGGAAAGUUCACACUGUGACGGUAGCUUACCAGAAAGGGACGGCUAACUACGUGCCAGCAGCCGCGGUAAUACGUAGGUCCCGAGCGUUGUCCGGAUUUAUUGGGCGUAAAGCGAGCGCAGGCGGUUUGAUAAGUCUGAAGUUAAAGGCUGUGGCUCAACCAUAGUUCGCUUUGGAAACUGUCAAACUUGAGUGCAGAAGGGGAGAGUGGAAUUCCAUGUGUAGCGGUGAAAUGCGUAGAUAUAUGGAGGAACACCGGUGGCGAAAGCGGCUCUCUGGUCUGUAACUGACGCUGAGGCUCGAAAGCGUGGGGAGCGAACAGGAUUAGAUACCCUGGUAGUCCACGCCGUAAACGAUGAGUGCUAGGUGUUGGAUCCUUUCCGGGAUUCAGUGCCGCAGCUAACGCAUUAAGCACUCCGCCUGGGGAGUACGACCGCAAGGUUGAAACUCAAAGGAAUUGACGGGGGCCCGCACAAGCGGUGGAGCAUGUGGUUUAAUUCGAAGCAACGCGAAGAACCUUACCAGGUCUUGACAUCCCGAUGCUAUUUCUAGAGAUAGAAAGUUACUUCGGUACAUCGGUGACAGGUGGUGCAUGGUUGUCGUCAGCUCGUGUCGUGAGAUGUUGGGUUAAGUCCCGCAACGAGCGCAACCCCUAUUGUUAGUUGCCAUCAUUCAGUUGGGCACCCUAGCGAGACUGCCGGUAAUAAACCGGAGGAAGGUGGGGAUGACGUCAAAUCAUCAUGCCCCUUAUGACCUGGGCUACACACGUGCUACAAUGGUUGGUACAACGAGUUGCGAGUCGGUGACGGCGAGCUAAUCUCUUAAAGCCAAUCUCAGUUCGGAUUGUAGGCUGCAACUCGCCUACAUGAAGUCGGAAUCGCUAGUAAUCGCGGAUCAGCACGCCGCGGUGAAUACGUUCCCGGGCCUUGUACACACCGCCCGUCACACCACGAGAGUUUGUAACACCCGAAGUCGGUGAGGUAACCUUUUGGAGCCAGCCGCCUAAGGUGGGACAGAUGAUUGGGGUGAAGUCGUAACAAGGUA